CUUGGAAACUGUGCUAUCUAACCUCCAAACGAGCUUCAAUGCCAUACAACACUCCUUCCGUGGCCUCCAACUGCUCUUAAACGCUAGUAAAACCAAAUGCAUGCUUUUCAACCGUUCGCUGCCUGCACCCGCACGCCUGACCAGCAUCACCGCCCUGGAUGGUUCCGACCUUGAAUAUGUGGACAUCUAUAAGUACCUAGGUGUCUGGCUAGACUGCAAACUCUCCUUCCAGACUCAUAUCAAACAUCUCCAAUCGAAAAUCAAAUCAAGAGUCGGCUUUAUAUUCCGCAACAAAGCCUCCUUCACUCACGCCGCCAAACUUACCCUAGUAAAACUGACUAUCCUACCGAUCCUCGACUUCGGCGAUGUCAUCUACAAAAUUGCUUCCAACACUCUACUCAGCAAACUGGAUGCAGUUUAUCACAGUGCCAUCCGUUUUGUCACUAAAGCACCUUAUACCACCCACCACUGCGACUUGUAUGCUCUAGUCGGCUGGCCCUCGCUACAUAUUCGUCGCCAGACCCACUGGCUCCAGGUCAUCUACAAGUCCAUGCUAGGUAAAGCUCCACCUUAUCUCAGUUCACUGGUCACGAUGGCAACACCCAUCCAUAGCACGCGCUCCAGCAGGUGUAUCUCACUGAUCAUCCCUAAAGCCAACACCUCAUUUGGCCGCCUUUCGUUCCAGUUCUCUGCUGCCUGUGACUGGAACGAAUUGCAAAAAUCGCUGAAGUUGGAGACUUUUAUCUCCCUCACCAACUUCAAACAUCUGCUAUCUGAGCAGCUAACCGAGCGCUGCAGCUGUACAUUGUCUAUUGGUAAACAGCCCACCCAUUUUUACCUACCUCAUCCCCAUACUGUUUUUAUUUAUUUACUUUUCUGCUCUUUUGCACACCAAUAUCUCUACCUGUACAUGACCAUCUGAUCAUUUAUCACUCCAGUGUUGUUAAUCUGCAAAAUUGUAAUUAUUCGCCUACCUCCUCAUGCCUUUUGCACACAAUGUAUAUAGACUCCCCUUUUUUUUCUACUGUGUUACUGACUUGUUAAUUGUUUACUCCAUGUGUAACUCUGUGUUGUCUGUUCACACUGCUAUGCUUUAUCUUGGCCAGGUCGCAGUUGCAAAUGAGAACUUGUUCUCAACUAGCCUACCUGGUUAAAUAAAGGUGAAAUUAAAAAAAAAUUAAAAAAUGAUCUGCAGUC
rnacentral:lncRNA from 13 species